rnacentral:rRNA from 1 species
GUGGGGAAUCUUGCACAAUGGGGAAAGCCCGAUGCAGCAACGCCGCGUGGGCGAUGAAGGCCUUCGGGUCGUAAAGCCCUUUUUGAGGGGAUGAGGAAGGACAGUACCCUCAGAAUAAGCUUCGGCUAACUACGUGCCAGCAGCCGCGGUAAAACGUAGGAGGCGAGCGUUAUCCGGAUUUACUGGGCGUAAAGCGCGUGCAGGCGGAUUGGAGAGUUGGAUGUGAAAGCUCCCGGCUUAACUGGGAGAGGUCGUUCAAUACUUCCAGUCUUGAGUGCAGUAGAGGGAAGUGGAAUUCCGGGUGUAGUGGUGAAAUGCGUAGAUAUCCGGAGGAACACCAGUGGCGAAAGCGGCUUCCUGGACUGUAACUGACGCUCAGACGCGAAAGCUAGGGUAGCAAACG